UGUAAGGUCACGGUCACAGGAGACUGGGCAACUCCAGUUCUCCCUGUCCCCAGCCCUUCGCCUGGCCCUGGCAAAAGCCCAUUGCAUCAACAGCUUCUACUGCUUCCGCCUGCGCCCUACCUGCCAAGCUUGGGCAGGAAGAGGGAAGGAAAGAGAAACUUUACGCCAAUCCCCCCUCUUCUGCUAACUUCCCCUCCCACCCUCGGGCCCUAACUAGCCCCGGGGACGCCUCCUCCCCACCAACGCAUCCAUCCCCAGAGGAACAAGUGAGGAUCUCAGAGCGCGACCUGGACAGGGAUGUGAAGACAAGACAUAUUAGCAGAGGUGGACUUACUCUGAAACCGAUGAAGGUCCCAUACAGAAAGAAGAAAGAGACAACCUGAAUCACAUUCAAAAGAGAGUCUCCACAAUAGUGAGGGCUGCAAAACCAUGUGACAUGAAAACCAAGAGAAUGAAUUACAUAGAUUUGUUUAACCUAAGGAAGAAAA
rnacentral:lncRNA from 1 species